rnacentral:rRNA from 1 species
GACGAACGCUGGCGGCGUGCUUAACACAUGCAAGUCGAACGGAAAGGCCCUGCUUUUGUGGGGUGCUCGAGUGGCGAACGGGUGAGUAACACGUGAGUAACCUGCCCUUGACUUUGGGAUAACUUCAGGAAACUGGGGCUAAUACCGGAUAGGAGCUCCUGCUGCAUGGUGGGGGUUGGAAAGUUUCGGCGGGUGGGGAUGGACUCGCGGCUUAUCAGCCUGUUGGUGGGGUAGUGGCUUACCAAGGCUUUGACGGGUAGCCGGCCUGAGAGGGUGACCGGCCACAUUGGGACUGAGAUACGGCCCAGACUCCUACGGGAGGCAGCAGUGGGGAAUAUUGCACAAUGGGCGGAAGCCUGAUGCAGCAACGCCGCGUGCGGGAUGACGGCCUUCGGGUUGUAAACCGCUUUCGCCUGUGACGAAGCGUGAGUGACGGUAAUGGGUAAAGAAGCACCGGCUAACUACGUG